rnacentral:tRNA from 1 species
GGGCCAGUGGCGCGAAUGGAUAACGCUGGCCUGACCACGGAUCAGGAAGAUUCUAGGUUCGACUCCUGGCUGGCUCG